rnacentral:rRNA from 1 species
AUUGAACGCUGGCGGCAUGCCUAACACAUGCAAGUCGAACGGCAGCACGGUCUGGUUUACCAGAUGGGUGGCGAGUGGCGAACGGGUGAGUAAAGCGUAGGAAUAUACCUUAAAGAGGGGGAUAACCUGGGGAAACUCAGGCUAAUACCGCGUAAACUCUGCGGAGCAAAGCUGGGGACCGAAAGGCCUGGCGCUUUAAGAAUAGCCUGCGUCCGAUUAGCUAGUUGGUGGGGUAAAGGCUCACCAAGGCGACGAUCGGUAGCUGGUCUGAGAGGACGAACAGCCACACUGGGACUGAGACACGGCCCAGACUCCUACGGGAGGCAGCAGUGGGGAAUAUUGGACAAUGGGGGGAACCCUGAUCCAGCAAUGCCGCGUGUGUGAAGAAGGCCUGAGGGUUGUAAAGCACUUUCAGUGGGAGGAGGAUUACUAGGUUAAGAGCCAGGUAAUUGGACGUUACCCACAGAAGAAGCACCGGCUAACUCCGUGCCAGCAGCCGCGGUAAUGUCGUACG